rnacentral:rRNA from 1 species
UACCUGCAGCUCGAGUGGUAACCGCUAUUAUUGGGCCUAAAGCGUCCGUAGCCGGUUUGGUAAAUAUCUGGGUAAAUCGUGAGGCUUAACUUCACGAAUUUCGGAUAGACUGCCAGACUUGGGAUCGGGGGAGGUCAGAGGUACUCCAGGGGUAGCGGUGAAAUGUUGUAAUCCUUGGAGGACCACCGGUAGCGAAGGCGUCUGACUAGAACGAGUCCGACGGUGAGGGACGAAGCCCUGGGGCGCAAACCGGAUUAGAUACCCGGGUAGUCCAGGGUGUAAACGAUGUGGGCUUUGUAUUGGAGGUCCCACGUGGGCGUCCAGUGCAGAAGAGAAGUUGUUAAGCCCACCGCCUGGGAAGUACGGUCGCAAGGCUGAGACUUAAAGGAAUUGGCGGGGAAGCACAGCAACGGGAGGAGCGUGCGGUUU